UUCCCCAAAACCAUAUGCUGAAGCCCCAAUCCCCAAUGUGAUAGUAUGUAAAGGUGAGGCCCUUGAGAGAUAAUUGGGUUUAGAUAAAGUCCUGCAGGUGUAGUCCCCAUGAUGGGAUUAGUGCCCUCCUAAGAAGAAAAGACCAGAGCUCACUCUCUCUUCAUCUUGGAAGGAUUCAGCAAGAAGGCAACCUCUCCAAACCAGAAAGAGACCUCUCACUAGACACCGAAUCUGGUGACACCUUGCUUGAUCUUGGACUUCCCAGCCUUCAGAACUGUGAGAAGUAAGUGUUUGCUGUUUAAGUCAUCCAGUCUAUGGUAUUUUGUUAUAGAAGCCUGAACUGACUAAGACAGAGUCCAUUCCUAAAUUCCUGAUCUGCAUCAUUUUAAGUUUCCAGAUCAAGGCCACCAUGCUUUCUUUCUAGAGCAAUCUAUCUAAAGCAAAGAGGAAUCUUUUCAUUACCAUCCUUCCUCUCUGUCCCUUCCUUCUGGUUAAGCCACUUUUCCUAAGGAGCAUUGCUUUUGAGAAGGGCUCCUGGUGAUCUUACAAGAAGCAUCUACUAAAAAUGGCUGUUGAGAGAGCUAAUAUAUCUGUGCACACUAGGGAUUACUUUUA